AAUCCUUUAUGACCAUUUGCUUAAAGUAUUAAUCACCCAUCUAGGCAAACACGAAUGUUGGGUACAUACUAUGGCUGAAGUGUAUUGACAAAAGGCCCAGGGCUAUUCAUGGUAGACAGAAGUAAUGAGGGUAGGAGGAAAGUGGCUGCUUUGAAAGAGGAAGAAAAUGGGCUGGAGGAAUAGGGGUACCCUCACCAUGCUGGGAGGGGUCUCAAAAUUGGUAUUCAUUUCUGAGCAGCUGCUGGUAGGUCAGAGGCUUGGAAUUGGCAUGGUAAAUCUAAAACUGUCUCAGCAGUGGUUAGCUGACCUCACCCAAGUUCCAAGUCCUACUUUGCCUGAUCCUUUUUUCUUGAGCCUCAGAGCUAAAAUGUUCCUGAGCUCUUUCCUAUUGGCUGGGGAGGCCAAUUGAAGUUCCCUUGCCCAUGUUAGGAGGUGUACGCCUCCUGAACUAAAGAUAGAAACAGCUGGCCCUUCCAGGCAGCUAAAAGCCUCCGGACUAAGAGGUGUUCCCCACUCGGCAGCCAGACUCCUUGAAAUACCCUUUCAGUCAUUCUACCAACGCCUCCAUGUCUCUACUCUGUCAUAACAAAGGCUGCGGGCAGCACUUUGACCCCAAAACCAACCUUCCUGAUUCCUGUUGCCAUCACCCCGGGGUCCCAAUCUUCCAUGAUGCACUUAAGGGUUGGUCCUGCUGCCGGAAGCGAACUGUAGAUUUCUCUGAGUUCUUAAACAUUAAGGGCUGUACUGUAGGACCACACUGUCCUGAGAAGCUCUCUGAGGCCCCUCAACCUGAGGGCCCUGCCACAAGCAGCUCACUUCAGGAGCAAAACCCUCCGAAUAUGAUUCCAAAGUCAGCAGAGACUUUGCGCCUGGAGAGGCCCAAGUCAGAGUUGCCUCCAAAACUGCUUCCACUAAAUAUAUCCCAAGCCCUGGAAAUGGCACUGGAACAGAAGGAAUUAGACCAAGAACCCGGAGCAGGACUUGACAGUAGCCUGAUCCGGACUGGAGCCAGCUGCCAGAAUCCAGGAUGUGAUGCUGUUUACCAAGGCCCAGAGAGUGAUGCUACUCCAUGUACCUACCACCCAGGAGCACCUCGAUUCCAUGAGGGGAUGAAGUCUUGGAGCUGUUGUGGCAUCCAGACCCUGGAUUUCGGAGCAUUCCUGGCACAGCCAGGAUGCAGAGUUGGUAGACAUGACUGGGGGAAGCACCUGCCAGCAUCUUGCCGUCAUGAUUGGCACCAGACAGAUUCCUUAGUAGUGGUGACUGUAUAUGGCCAGAUUCCACUUCCUGCUUUCAACUGGGUGAAGGCCAGUCAAACUGAGCUUCACGUCCACAUUGUCUUUGAUGGUAACCGUGUGUUCCAAGCACAGAUGAAGCUCUGGGGGGGGACCAGCAACUACUCAGAAUUCCUGGAGAGGAUGGAGGUAUGAGUUUGAAAUGACGGCAAAGCAUACAAAUGGAAAUGCUGGCAGGCAGUUAAUUGUCAAUGCAAAACUGGAGUUCAUGAGACAAGUCGGCACUGAAGAUAGAUUUGAGUAUUAUCUGCAUCAAUCUGACACUUAAACAUUCAACUUAUAGCCCCAUAUGUCAUGCCGAUCUUCUGCUGUGCCUGGUGUCUUGGAUCUUGGAGCCUUUCCAUGGUUUUAUUGGUAAAAUGUCACCUUCUCAUCUGUAUCCUUCUCUGUACUAUACCAAAAUUUCUUCCCAACUACUAUUUCAGUUACCAUGUCUCAAAUGGCUUCCCUGCAUCUAGAGAACCCCCAGAACUUUUUGUCCUUUGGGGUUUGUACAUAUUUUAUAUAUUAUUUU